AGCCCUUAUCUUUCCAUGUAAAAUCAUGGAGAAUUCCUUUGAUGGCUUGUCAUAGUUGGUGAUGAAUACGUAGCGGUAAGUGCUUUGCCCACAUUUAUUUUCUUUCGUAUCAUCUAGAACAAUUAAUUCAUCAUCUAUGACUGAUCUUGCCAUGUCAUGCACAGGAUCAUGCAUGGUCAAUGUUACGAGUCUAUCAUCCUUUUGACUAAUCUGCACAAAGCAAGUUGUGUAUGGAAACGUCAAAUCGUCAAUUAUAAUCAUCCUAUUAUACUGUUUUGGUGACUUGAGAUGGAGAUUUGUUUCAAAAGUAAUAUACUACUUCAAAAACCUUAUAAUAUGUGGCUGUUUUAUCAUAUUAGAUGUGCCAAGGCAAAAUGAUUGAUGAUGUGCCAAGCAAAAUGAUCCAUCAUUUGAAAAAGACCCCCGCGUCGCCCACACGCAGGCGACAUGGGGGCGAACCCUACCACCGGCGCCGACCACCCUCGUCCCCUCCCCUACCUCGCCGCCGCCGGAGCUCACCGCCGGCAAAGCCGGCCGGCGAGCUAGGAAGGCGGCGGCGGGGCUUUCUCCGCAGUGGUGCCCCCUCUCAGGCGUGGGGGAGGUGGAGUUUUUUUGCCGGCGGCGGAGAGUGGCGGCGGCGAGGAAUCCCGGCCAGGCGGCGGUAGAUCCGGCACCGCCGUUGCCGGAUCUGGACGGUGCGCCGACGGUGGUGUCGUGGGGCGGCGCGAAGCGGAGGUGGCGCGGCUGGCGGUGGCCGCUGCAGCGUCUAGCGGCG
rnacentral:lncRNA from 1 species